AACGUAGGAGACGAACGUUAUCCGGAGUUACUGGGCGUAAAGGGCGUGUAGGCGGUAUGUUAAGUCUGGCGUGAAAGCUCUCGGCUAAACCGGGAGAGGUCGUUGGAUACUGACACACUAGAGGAUGGUAGAGGCGUGUGGAAUUCCGGGUGUAGUGGUGAAAUGCGUAGAGAUCCGGAGGAACACCAGUGGCGAAGGCGGCGUUCUGGACUGCUACUGACACUGAGGAACGAAAGCCAGGGGAGCAAACGGG
rnacentral:rRNA from 1 species